CUUUGAUUUUGCUUCAGGGUUAGGUUUGGGUUAAAUUAUUCCAAGUGAUUCCAAUUAAGCAAUCCUCAUGUGUAUCUCUUUAAGCUGUGACCAGGAAGAUCUAAGAAGGUUCUAUGGCAUUUUGGAACUUUUCUCCCUGACUUGAUUGUAUUUGAAGUUUUGCCAAAAUGAAAAAUCAAGACCUGUGCCUUGGGGCAGAGCUGUAGAGCUACGUCAUGACGCUUGGUUUUCAUUUAAGACAGGGAGGCCAUUCUGGAAAUCAAACUUUAAUUAAGCACACAGCUGGGAGUGGAUAGGGGUCAAAGCCUGGAACUUGCCCCUCCUCCUCAUACUACUAUCCCAGGGCAGUAACCAAGAAGCCUCAAGUUAUUUGGAUCAUAUUCAAAAGUCUGCGCAUUGAAAAUGGCUUUCUAGUUCUCUGAACUCAAUUAUUCUAACCCUUAGAAAGAUCUGAUGACGAAGUAAUGAAGACAAGGGGGAGACUACAAGAAGCAUUCUGUGGAACCUUACUACGCAAAAGCCAUACCUGUCAUCCAGUCGAUCUAGUAACCCACCAGUUACUCUUCGAGCUUGAGCGCAGGACUCUAGGUUUCCACUUGAUGUCUCAUUCUGCCAACCUGUAAUUGAAGACAUUUCCAGUUCUGCUUGCUGAACACGCUUAAGAAUAGCCUGUACUUUUUCUUCUGUCAUCUCCUCAGACUCUACUCCUUCUUCAAGUUGAAUGUCCUCAAAUAGAGAUUUGAGUUUCUCUUCCAUCAUCUCCUCAUCAGGACCAGAUUUUCCUUUCUCCUGCUGCUCAGAGCUUACUCCUAGUUUUCUAGGCUCUGCUGGUUUAACAUCUUUUGGGGACCCAGCCAAAUUUCCAAGGUAUUGAGGAUACUCACUCAGACAUACAUUCUCCAACUGGCUCUCAUCUACAUCCACUGCUUCAGGCAUUUCUGUUAAAGGCACUGAGUCUUCCAGUUUGCUGUCUUCUAA
rnacentral:lncRNA from 1 species